rnacentral:rRNA from 1 species
AUCAUGUUGGGGCGCAAGCCGGGCGGGUGGCGCCGGAUUCGGUUCGUGCGAGCGAGCGACGAGGGGCUCUACAACGAGGACGGCUGGUCCGCGCUCCGUAUCAGGGGGAGGUCCGUGUACCACCUGAGGAACGCGCUGGCCAGCCGCGUCGGCGACAUCGACAUCCACGGCCAGCGCCGCGACAUGGUCAUGUGCGUCCGAGCGGGACUCUACGGGAGGCUGACCCCACUCGUCGUCAACCUGCCUCACGGCCGCUACGGCGAGACCCUCGACAUUGUCGUGAUGCUGUCCGGGACCCCUGGGUACUGA